CCAACAGGGAUUGCCCCAGUAACGGCGAGUGAAGCGGCAACAGCUCAAAUUUGAAAUCUGGCCCCUAGGGCCCGAGUUGUAAUUUGCAGAGGAUGCUUUUGGCGAGGUGCCUUCCGAGUUCCCUGGAACGGGACGCCACAGAGGGUGAGAGCCCCGUCUGGUUGGAUACCGAGCCUCUGUAAAGCUCCUUCGACGAGUCGAGUAGUUUGGGAAUGCUGCUCUAAAUGGGAGGUAUAUGUCUUCUAAAGCUAAAUACCGGCCAGAGACCGAUAGCGCACAAGUAGAGUGAUCGAAAGAUGAAAAGCACUUUGAAAAGAGGGUUAAAUAGUACGUGAAAUUGUUGAAAGGGAAGCGCUUAUGACCAGACUUGGGCCCGGUGAAUCAUCCAGCGUUCUCGCUGGUGCACUUUGCCGGGCUCAGGCCAGCAUCAGUUUGCCCCGGGGGAUAAAGGCUUUGGGAAUGUGGCUCUUUCGGGAGUGUUAUAGCCCACUGCACAAUACCCUGAGGCGGACUGAGGUUCGCGCAUCUGCAAGGAUGCUGGCGUAAUGGUCAUCAGCGACCCGUCUUGAAACACGGACCAAGGAGUCGUCUUCGUAUGCGAGUGUUCGGGUGUAAAACCCCUACGCGUAAUGAAAGUGAACGCAGGUGAGAGCUUCGGCGCAUCAUCGACCGAUCCUGAUGUUCUCGGAUGGAUUUGAGUAAGAGCAUACGGGGCCGGACCCGAAAGAAGGUGAACUAUGCCUGUAUAGGGUGAAGCCAGAGGAAACUCUGGUGGAGGCUCGCAGCGGUUCUGACGUGCAAAUCGAUCGUCAAAUAUGGGCAUGGGGGCGAAAGACUAAUCGAACCUUCUAGUAGCUGGUUUCCGCCGAAGUUUCCCUCAGGAUAGCAGUGUUGAACUCAGUUUUAUGAGGUAAAGCGAAUGAUUAGGGACCCGGGGGCGCUUCUUAGCCUUCAUCCAUUCUCAAACUUUAAAUAUGUAAGAAGCCCUUGUUACUUAGUUGAACGUGGGCAUUCGAAUGUAUCAACACUAGUGGGCCAUUUUUGGUAAGCAGAACUGGCGAUGCGGGAUGAACCGAACGCGAGGUUAAGGUGCCAGAGUAGACGCUCAUCAGACACCACAAAAGGUGUUAGUACAUCUUGACAGCAGGACGGUGGCCAUGGAAGUCGGAAUCCGCUAAGGACUGUGUAACAACUCACCUGCCGAAUGUACUAGCCCUGAAAAUGGAUGGCGCUCAAGCGUCUCACCCAUACCUCGCCCUCAGGGUAGAAACGAAGCCCUGAGGAGUAGGCGGACGUGGAGGUCAGUGACGAAGCCUAGGGCGUGAGCCCGGGUCGAACGGCCUC
rnacentral:rRNA from 1 species